GUUCCUCUGAGAGGCUCUUCUCCCAAAACUAGGAAUAAGACUUCAUGCUGGCCAAUAACUUGGACGUCGAAACUUCCGGAGGAACAAAAGAGGAGGGAGGAAGCUGAAAAGAAUCUGCAGGACAUUAAAGAAGAGAUGAUCAACUCUAAGUUAGAGAAGGCUGACUUCAUUCAGAAGCUGAUGCAGACAUUUCUUACA